rnacentral:rRNA from 1 species
CCUACGGGUGGCAGCAGUGGGGAAUAUAGGACAAUGGGGGCAACCCUGAUCCAGCCAUGCCGCGUGUGUGAAGAAGGCCCUCGGGUUGUAAAGCACUUUCAGUGAGGAAGAACGCCUGGUGGUUAAUACCCAUCAGGAAAGACAUCACUCACAGAAGAAGCACCGGCUAACUCCGUGCCAGCAGCCGCGGUAAUACGGAGGGUGCGAGCGUUAAUCGGAAUUACUGGGCGUAAAGCGCGCGUAGGUGGCUUGAUAAGCCGGUUGUGAAAGCCCCGGGCUCAACCUGGGAACGGCAUCCGGAACUGUCAAGCUAGAGUGCAGGAGAGGAAGGUAGAAUUCCCGGUGUAGCGGUGAAAUGCGUAGAGAUCGGGAGGAAUACCAGUGGCGAAGGCGGCCUUCUGGACUGACACUGACACUGAGGUGCGAAAGCGUGGGUAGCAAACAGGAUUAGAUACCCUUGUAGUC